CCAAUUCAAAACAACUCAAAGAAAUUUCAAACAAACAAUAAAAUUCUUAAAGAAAUAUUAGAAUGAUCACAAAUUUUACUCAAAUAUAUGUCAAUUCAACCUUAAUUUAAUUCCAGUUAAAAUCCUAUUGAAUUUCACUCAACUUUAGACAAAACCUAAUUAAAUCUUAAAUCCUAAUAAUUCCUAAACCCUAAGUCAAAUCCUAAACAAAUCUUAAAUUAAAUCCUAUUUCAAAUCCUAAACCUUAAACCAAAUCCUAAAUCAAACCCUAAACCAAAUCCUAAUCUAACUCUAAAUCCUAA
rnacentral:lncRNA from 1 species